UCUUCCGCAAUGGGCGAAAGCCUGACGGAGCAACGCCGCGUGAGUGAUGAAGGUUUUCGGAUCGUAAAGCUCUGUUGCCAGGGAAGAACGUCUUGGAGAGUAACUGCUCUGAGAGUGACGGUACCUGAGAAGAAAGCCCCGGCUAACUACGUGCCAGCAGCCGCGGUAAUACGUAGGGGGCAAGCGUUGUCCGGAAUUAUUGGGCGUAAAGCGCGCGCAGGCGGCCGUUUAAGUCCGGUGUUUAAUCCCGAAGCUCAACUUCGGGUCGCACUGGAAACUGGAGGGCUUGAGUGCAGAAGAGGAGAGUGGAAUUCCACGUGUAGCGGUGAAAUGCGUAGAGAUGUGGAGGAACACCAGUGGCGAAGGCGACUCUCUGGGCUGUAACUGACGCUGAGGCGCGAAAGCGUGGGGAGCAAACAG
rnacentral:rRNA from 1 species